AUGCAGGACCCCAACGCAGACACUGAGUGGAAUGACAUCUUAACGCAAAAAGGGUAUCUUACCCCCCAAGGAAAGUCUGAAAGAAUUGGAAGAGGAGGCAGAAGAGGAGCAGCGCAUCCUCCAGCAGUCAGUGGUGAAAACAUAUGAAGAUAUGACUUUGGAAGAGCUGGAGGAUCAUGAAGACGAGUUUAAUGAGGAGGAUGAAUGUGCUAUUGAAAUGUGCAGACAGCAGAGACUGGCUGAGUGGAAAGCAACUAAACUGAAGAAUAAAUUUUGAGAAGUUUUGGAGAUCUCAGGGAAGGAUUAUGUUCAAGAAGUUACCAAAGCUGGUGAGGGCUUGUGGGUCAUCUUGCACCUUUACAAACAAGGAAUUCCCCUCUGUGCCCUGAUAAAUCAGAACCUCAGUGGACUUGCCAGGAAGUUUCCUGAUGUCAAAUUUAUCAAAGCCAUUUCAACAACCUGCAUACCCAAUUAUCCUGAUAGGAAUCUGCCCCGAUAUUUGUUUACCUGGAAGGAGAUAUCAAGGCUCAGUUUAUUGGUCCUCUGGUGUUUGGUGGCAUGAACCUGACAAGAGAUGAGUUGGAAUGGAAACUGUCUGAAUCUGGAGCAAUUAUGAUGGACCUGGAGGAAAACCCUAAGAAGCCGAUUGAAGAUGUAUUGCUGUCAUCAGUGUGGCACUCUGUCCUCAUGAGGAGGGACAGCGAUUCUGAGGGUGACUGA
rnacentral:lncRNA from 1 species